rnacentral:rRNA from 1 species
CCUACGGGUGGCAGCAGUGGGGAAUAUUGGACAAUGGGCGAAAGCCUGAUCCAGCCAUGCCGCGUGUGUGAAGCAGGCCUUCGGGUUGUAAAGCACUUUCAGUGGGGAAGAAAGCCUUGGGGCUAAUACCCUCGAGGAAGGACAUCACCCACAGAAGAAGCACCGGCUAACUCCGUGCCAGCAGCCGCGGUAAUACGGAGGGUGCGAGCGUUAAUCGGAAUUACUGGGCGUAAAGCGCGCGUAGGCGGUCUGAUAAGCCGGUUGUGAAAGCCCCGGGCUCAACCUGGGAACGGCAUCCGGAACUGUCAGGCUAGAGUGCAGGAGAGGAAGGUAGAAUUCCCGGUGUAGCGGUGAAAUGCGUAGAGAUCGGGAGGAAUACAAGUGGCGAAGGCGGCCUUCUGGACUGACACUGACGCUGAGGUGCGAAAGCGUGGGUAGCAAACAGGAUUAGAUACCCGGGUAGUC